rnacentral:rRNA from 1 species
UACGUAGGGUGCGAGCGUUGUCCGGAAUUAUUGGGCGUAAAGAGCUCGUAGGCGGUUUGUCGCGUCGGCCGUGAAAACUUGGGGCUUAACUCCAAGCUUGCGGUCGAUACGGGCAGACUUGGAGUGACUGCAGGGGAGACUGGAAUUCCUGGUGUAGCGGUGGAAUGCGCAGAUAUCAGGAGGAACACCGAUGGCGAAGGCAGGCUCUGGGCAUUAACUGACGCUGAGGAGCGAAAGCAUGGGGAGCGAACAGG